rnacentral:rRNA from 1 species
GACGGAAGGUGCAAGCGUUGCUCGGAAUCACUGGGCGUAAAGGGUGCGUAGGCGGCCGUGCAAGUCUGGCGUGAAAGCCCCGGGCUCAGCCCGGGAAGUGCGCUCGAAACUGCGCGGCUCGAGUGCCGGAGGGGAGAGUGGAAUUCCUGGUGUAGCGGUGAAAUGCGUAGAUAUCAGGAGGAAUACCGGUGGCGAAAGCGCUCUACUGGACGGUAUCUGACACUGAGGGACGAAAGCUAGGGGAGCGAAUGGG